GAUGAACGCUGGCGGCGUGCCUAAUACAUGCAAGUCGAGCGAACAGAUAAGGAGCUUGCUCCUUUGACGUUAGCGGCGGACGGGUGAGUAACACGUGGGUAACCUCCCUAUAAGACUGGGAUAACUUCGGGAAACCGGAGCUAAUACCGGAUAACAUUUGGAACCGCAUGGUUCUAAAGAGAAAUAUGGUUUUGCUAUCACUUAUAGAUGGACCCGGGCCGUAUUAGCUGGUUGGUAAGGUAACGGCUUACCAAGGCGACGAGACGUAACCGACGUGAGAGGGGGAUCGGCCACAUUGGAACGUAGACACGCUCCAUACUCCUACGGGAGGCAGCAGUAUGGUAUCUUCCGCAAUGGGCGGAAGCCUGACGGAGCAACGCCGCGUGAGUGACGAAGGGUUUCGGCUCGUAAAACUCUGUUAUUAGGGAAGAACAAACUUGUAAGUAACUGUGCACGUCUUGACGGUACCUAAUCAGAAAGCCACGGCUAACUACGUG
rnacentral:rRNA from 1 species